GACAAAUAAAUACACAUUUAAUACACACUGACAAGCUGAACCAACAUAUGUUAUUAUUACCGGCUCAGAUCUCAUUAAUAAUUGAUGUCUGGCCGGAGAUCAGUGAGAAGGACCAGAGAGAAAUCACCGCUGCAUCAGCGCGUGCAGUCUCACGAGCUCACAAUAAAAGCAUUUUUAUAUUUUAAGAGCUUUUUAAAAUAAAAUAUUACCGCGAAUGCACACAAUCCACCCAUUAGAACACAACAAGAGCUAAAUUCAGGUAUUUGUGAGCUGUUUGAUUGUGAAAAUUGAAAGACUAUUUGACAGUGCGAGACUGUCUAAGGGCAGAAUAACAUCGAUCUCUCGAGCUCCAGAGGACGCUGAUUCUGGCAAGAACGAACAAAUCAAGAACAAGGUUAUUUCAAAAUACAUAAUAGCUUGGCGAAUAUAAACGAAAACAUUCACGUGAACAUAAACAGUUGAGAAAUAAAUCUGAAGUGUAUCAUGAUACUGGAUUUGAAUAUUAAAGUGACUGCAUUUACCAGCUGCUUUCUGUCUUCAAUUUUAAUCUAUAAAAAACAGAAAAUCAUUCGUCUUGGCUGUUUUUGUAUGUGUGUAUGUAUUCACGUAUUUAUUAUUAUUAUUAUUAUUAUUUUGCUCUAACAAGAAUUAAU
ensembl:lncRNA